CCAUGAUUCUAGAAUUUUGUGACUCUGAAAUGCUAGGAUUCACUGAAACAUCUUUUUGCUUGAAUAGACCAGGAUUCAUUGCCUACCCUCUCCUGCUACCCUUAGGAAACGAAGCUGAAAAUAGAAACAUCAAAACAACAAGCCAUUCCAGCUCUAAGUGCCAUAGUAAACAAAUGGUCCAAUGUUGCUCCGAUGGUUUAAUUGCAGCAGCUCCAGACAAGCUCAUUCAUGAAGCAUCUUCAGUUGAUGAAGAGGAGGAGUGAGGCCUUGGGGGAAGGGGUGGCUUGUGGCUAUCUCUGAGAAGGUAUCUGAACUGCCAUCCCAGUCUUCUCUCUAUCCAUCCAUUUAUUAACCAAACACAUAUCAAGGGUCUAUGGGGAGUUAGGCACAAUGCUGGAAUCACAAAGAUGAAUACAACAUGGUUCCUAACCAUGAGGAGCUCAAGGACCAGCAGGGUGAAUGACGCUGCAGUAUACUAGUAUGAAUGCUCCAGCUGUUCCCUUAAAGUGACUGGCAACAAUGGAUCCUUUCUAUUCACGAAUUCCCGGGCCUGUAGUGUGGCUGUGGUGGGCUCCUAGGUGCUUCCCUGCGUUUUCCAAAUGGUGACAAGAUGUGAACCCCUGCGGCAUAAGGGCAAAGCUGAAUCCACGGGGAUCGGGAGCCACUGUAGAUUCUUGAACAGGGUAAAUUAAAGGCAAGAACAACUUGAGGUCAGAACGGAGAACCUCAGAGCUGGAAGGUGCCUCGUGUAAUUGGGCCCAGAGAAGCCAGGGGGUUGCUGGAUUUGUGCCCUGAUCACUGCUUAACAAUUAAACAAUUGUGUAAAGUUUCCUACCCGUGACCUGGGGUUCUUUCAGGGUGUAGAGGAAAUGGAGUGAAAUGAAUUCCAGGUGCCAGUUUAAUUUCACGAAGUUCAGAAUGCCUGCCAAACACAGGGAUUUGAUGCAGGUUCCCUGACUGAAGGACUGCAGGGAGGAAGGGGUAUCUGCAGGCUCUUGGCUCAGGUUUUCCUCUUCUAACACUCACACACAAAGCAGGGCCUUACUUAUCCUCCAGGCUGAUUGUCGCUCAACAGUCCCUGGGCUUCACAUAUGUAGGCUUUUCAGCACACCCGUGGAAUCAAACAGACAAGGAUUUGAAUUCUUAUCUUGCACCUACACGCUGUGUGACCUGGGGCAAGUCGCUUAACCUCUCUGGGCUUCCAUUUCCUCAUGUAUCAAUACAGUCCUCUCCUAUUUGGUUACUGUGAGGAUCGAGUAAGAUAUGUUCAUACAGUGCUUGGUGUAGUGCCUGGUGUGUGGUGAAAGCUGUUGUUGUUAUUUUAGGCAUUAAAAUCCCGUGGCCCCCACACACAAAACUUCAGACACAUGCUGUUGACAUGGGGAUGAUUAAGAGAUUUACCUUUUAGAAACAUAAAAGAAUGAUUAAAAAGGAAGGGUUAUUUUGGUGACAGGGUAGAGGAUGCAUUAGGAGGAAG
ensembl:lncRNA